rnacentral:rRNA from 1 species
UACGUAGGGCGCGAGCGUUAAUCGGAAUUACUGGGCGUAAAGCGUGCGCAGGCGGUUUUGUAAGUCAGAUGUGAAAUCCCCGGGCUUAACCUGGGAAUGGCAUUUGGGACUGCAAGGCUGGAGUGUGGUAGGGGAGAUCGGAAUUCCUGGUGUAGCGGUGAAAUGCGCAGAUAUCAGGAGGAACACCGGUGGCGAAGGCGGGUCUCUGGGCCAUUACUGACGCUGAGGCGCGAAAGCGUGGGGAGCGAACAGG